rnacentral:rRNA from 1 species
GACGAACGCUGGCGGCGUGCUUAACACAUGCAAGUCGAACGGAAAGGCCCUGCUUUUGUGGGGUGCUCGAGUGGCGAACGGGUGAGUAACACGUGAGUAACCUGCCCUUGACUUUGGGAUAACUUCAGGAAACUGGGGCUAAUACCGGAUAGGAGCUCCUGCUGCAUGGUGGGGGUUGGAAAGUUUCGGCGGUUGGGGAUGGACUCGCGGCUUAUCAGCUUGUUGGUGGGGUAGUGGCUUACCAAGGCUUUGACGGGUAGCCGGCCUGGGAGGGUGACCGGCCACAUUGGGACUGAGAUACGGCCCAGACUCCUACGGGCGGCAGCAGUGGGGAGUAUUGCACAAUGGGCGGAAGCCUGAUGCAGCAGCGCCGCGUGCGGGAUGACGGCCUUCGGGUUGUAAACCGCUUUCGCCUGUGACGAAGAGUGAGUGACGGUAAUGGGUAAAGAAGCACCGGCUAACUACGUG